rnacentral:lncRNA from 1 species
ACUCCAUAUCAUCACAGUCUACAAGUUCUUCUUGAACGGCCAUGAUGGAUUCCAUGGUUUUUAUCAGGUCUUCUCGUCCAGGGAUGUCAGCUAGUCCCAUCAGACUGUUUAGGGAGUUGAAGAAAGUGUUUGAGAGAUGGUUGUGAGAUCUGGCAUGGAUGCUGCUCAGUGCUUCGUUGAUUAAGGAGUUGGUGAUUUGGAUCAGAGACAGAUUCAUAGCUGCGAGUGAGAGCUGCCCCUGUUCUGUUUUUGUGGCAGCUUGCAGCUGGGGGAUUACUUCUGGUCGUUUAAGUGGCUGGAUGUUUUCUGGAAGAUGUCCAGGACAUGCACUGGUUCCCUGAAUGCACGCUCGGGCCAUGUCUCAUCAAUAAUCUUUGACAGCUCUCUGCCAAUGUAAGACAAUUGUUGUUGACUACUGUCAAUUUCUGGAGUUCUGAUUUCUGCCCUCUCCACACAGGCGUUGAUGACUGUGAGCAAGGUAGUGACAUUUUUCAGUAGCGUCCUCACUGGGGGCACGAAGGUUGUUUCUAUAGCAUUUUCUGAGGGAAUGUUGCUGAUUAAUUCUGAAAGGGUCUCCACGGUGUCCUUUUCGAUGGCCUUGACAGCCUCCUGGAUAGCACUUGAAAGUAGUGGUGUGCGGGUUUCUGUUUCUAGAUAAAUGGGCCCCAGGGAGGCGGGUGGAUCGGUGUUAUUUAAAACUGAAAGCAUCAAAGCCUUGAAUCUGGCAUCCUGCUCACUUGUUAGAGCCAUGUUGUUUGAGACCACCCUUUUUAGGUCCUGUACAGUCGAGACCAGAUUAUUGGCCUCUUCUACCGAGCACACACAAAAAAAAUCUUGGGGGAAGGACUCGGUGAAGGUCGUGAUGAUAUCCUUUAUGUCAAGGCUACUUUUGCUUAUCUCCAGGGCGCGGGUGAGAUUUUUACAGUGGAGUAGGAUUUUUUGGAGGUCCGUCGCGCGGUUAGCGUGCAUGGCGGGUAGGCACGCGCAUACUUUGGCCUGGACAUGGUCUGCGAGGUUUGGGUCUGAUAUGAGAUUAUUUUUUAGCAGGGUGAACAGUUUUUCAAUUUGGAGGUUUGAAUUAAUUAACAGUUUGAUAUCAUCAUUUUUAAUUUGUAGCUGCUUGGACCACGCCAUUAGAUAAUUCAGAACAUUCAAGGCCUCGGUGGGAGUGUAGUCGCUGUCUGAAACCACUCCAAUCUCUAGUACCUGUUGGAGGACAUUCUUGAGCUGAUGGAGAGCCCUGGUCAGGCGAUAUGAUUCUCCAGUAUCAGUGUCUACUAAUGCGGGGAAUGAUGGCACAUGGCCAGGCAGAGUCAGGGAAUUUAAAAGCUGGUCCACGGCAGCCAGGUUGGGGAGGGUGACGCUUGGGAGGGACGUCCCAGACCUGUCUGGCUCGGCCUCCCUGUCGCCCUCGCUCUCGUCCUCCAUAUCAUCGUCCCCAGUAAGAUCGAUGACGUCAUCGUCCAUCGUUAAGUCAAUUAUGUCUGGAGAGGGUAGAGGGUGUGUCAUUUUCUCUGGAGGGGUGCGCCCAGAUUCUUUCCUCUUUUUGUUGGCAUCAGUCCACUCCUCCCCACAGCUCAUAGGAUACCUCUUCCUCUUUGCCUUUGACAUGUAUUUCAAGAGGGAGCCCACUUCUGGGUCAGGCGACGAUGACGCCUGUGGUGACGAACAGAAACUCUGGUUGGUGGUUGGUAGGUCAUAUUCUUCCAAGAUUAUUUUUGAACCAUGUAAAUCAGAAAAGGAGAUGACUUUAUAGUGAGACAUGAUGUAAUUUUUGGGAGAAAUGUGUCCUGGUACAAAAUAUAGGAAGCACGCAGUAUAUUCGCGGGACACGCCCCCGACAUAUUUUAUCAGAGCAUCUGGAUCAGACGUGCUGAGUACGUGGGCUGGACUCUCAGGAAUGUCCUUUAGACAGUGUGGAUCAAACAUGGUGUACCUGCCCCCCUGGAUGAUUAUGGCCCCAGAUUUUUGUCCACAGAUGUACAAAAUAUACUGGAUAGUGUUUGAAUAAUUGGCCGUCAGCAGGUCACGCAGGGACGUGAUGCAGGAGUCAGAAAUGUCAGCUGGCAUGCCAAGCAGGCCAAACAUUUCAGCAGAGGUAUAGAUGAACCCAGACCACUUUCUUGUUUGGACAUAGCAAGGCACGUGGUCCAGCUGGGCAUAUUGGCCAGGAGAUAAGAGGCCCAAUUUUCUCAGAUUGCUGUCUAACUCUGCCCCAAACUUUAAAACUUUAUUAAGGUCGUGGGUCUCGGUUAUGGGGGCUUCAUUGUUGAAGUAGGAAGACAUCAGGUAUAUGAUACAGUUGCUAAGACACUGAGCCCCUGCAUUUUCUCCAAAUUUACAAUCUGCCUGAUUGGUUGAGGCUGUACCUUCGAUGCGAAACCCAGCCAAAGAAGCAGGCAGGGCCAUUAUGAUAGCAGUUUUAUUAUGUCAUGAAUUUUUACAAUAGUGUAGGGGCACUCUGCGUGCUCGGCGGUGUAGGUUUGUUGUGUAAAUAUUUGCCAGUUAACAUCCAGGGGUAUUCUGUCAUAAGUGCUGGAAUAUUUUUUCAGUUGGGGUGGAUGUUUCUCACCACGGGCAGCGUUUUGGCUAAAAAUCUGGGGGUAGGUAGAAUAUAGCAUGGUUAGGUCUUCAUCUGUGGGGUUUCCCCCAGCCUGGGUCAUUGACGUGUCUGUGGGUGGAGCCAUCAGAUUUACUGGAAUUUCUUUAAGAUUUUUGAUAAUUUCCACAUUUCCAGCCGAUGCCGCCUUUAAGAUUGUGGGGGUAAUGAUUUCCUGGGAAAACAGGUCAUGAAACCUUUUUCUUAAGCAACUUGAACAUCCUUUCGAGAGAAGGGAUAGUCCAGAGCUAAUUCUGGAGAGUAUGCCACUGAAGGACUGUUUGAGUUGGUUCCAAGGUUCGGUGUCAAAUUCUAUCCCCAACUCAUGCUGUUUAUAUGCCUCUAGGUCUUGAAGAAGUGAGAGCACCGUGCUGUAUUCCCCCCUGAGUUCACCCUCCAGAUCUGUUAUCUCCAUCAGGAGCUGACUGUGAUCCUUUUCCACCUGGCUAAUCAGACUCUUGAGGGUCUCCAAGUGAACUUCCAGAAUCUGUCCACUGGAGGACAGUAUGGUGAAUUGAUGGGUUAGGGGGUGAUAGUUAUAUUUGGUGUGACAUAAAAUUGAGCCCAGACGUAAGAUGUUUCUGCCCCUCAACAAAAGGUGUUCGACCUUGGGGAUGAUGGCCGUGAUAUAAUCUACAGAAUUGAUAUAGGAUGCGCCAGUGUCUAGUACAAAUAAGUAGAGGAUUAGAUCCUGGGGUAUAGAAAAUGUCUGGUUAAUUUUGUUGAUCUUUUUCUUUAGAUCCAGGGCAUGGUCCAAGAGAUUCUUCAUGGCAGAAGGUUUAUUGGUCCCGUUGAUGAUGUCGAGCAGCUCAAAGUAGAACAUGCCCAGCGGUCUGCGGAUCUCCUGCAGCUGGGGCGUGUCGGUGAUAGCGAAGCUCAGCAGCCAUCUUAUUUGGAAGAGGGCCCGGUUUCUUGACGUCUUUCUGGAAAAUAUCCCCUGUAUGGUGGGACCAACGAUGUGUCUGAUGAAGUACUUGUAAAACAUUUUAUGGGAGACCAUGGCAGGCUCGUAGGAUAAGUCCCCGACAGGCAUUCUUUUACAGUAGGCCGCGACCCUCUCUUCGGAAACCUGGUGCUCGCAAGAGGGUUCCAUCAGUGGAUUCUGGGUGAUGAGGACAAUGCCCCAAUUCCUGUUUACCCAUGAAAAAAAUAAAGUUCUCAUGAUAUCUGA